AUGGGGCCGUGGGAACGGCGCGUGCGCAGAGCGGCGGCAGGGGCGGGGCGGGGAGGGAAGGGCGGGACGGGGAUGGGAGGGGAGGGGCGGGCGCGGGAAAGGAGGGGAGGGGGCGCGGGGGCGAGCGCGGCCGCCCGGGCUGGCAGGCGGGGCGGGAGGCAGGGCAGGGCAGGGCAGGCAGCACCGCACGGCAAGGCACGGCACAACACAGCGCAGCACAGCACGCUGCCCCUCCGCCAGCACGCUUGGAGCGGUGAGUGCCUUCUGCUCCCCUUCUUUUCCCCUUCUUCUCCCCUUCUUUUCUCUCUCUCUGCUUACUACGGAGCAGAAAGUGCGGCGGCGGGCUGGGGCUGCGGCUGGGGGCUCGCCCCUUCCCCUGUGCGCGUUCCCAUCGCUGCUUGGUGCUGCUGCUGCCGCUGCGUGGUCUCCCCGGGGCGGCGUGACACGCGUGGCUGCGGUGCGCCCUGCCCUGCGCUGCCUCCCCCCGCUCCCCCAGUUGCGGAGGAGCCGCUCCGGGGCCGCCCCUCCGCAGCCCGGGCCGGGGGGACCCGCGGCUCCUUCCCCCCCGCUCAGCCCCGCGGCGGGACCGCGUGGAGGGGCUGCGGGCGCCCUGCCCGAGCCGUGCCCCUUUCCCCAGCCCGGAGCGCGGCGGCUGGCGCAGGUGCGGCCCCGCAGCGCACACCUGUAGCGCCGGGGCCGGGAUCCUGGGGGGCGAUGCGAAGCCGCAGGGGUCCGGGCAGCCGCUGCUACACGUGGGGCCGGGGCCUGCCCGGCCAUGGCGGCGGCGGGGGGAAGCGGCGGCCGGCCCCGGGGUGGGCGGCAGCGGGGAGCCGGGGCUCGGCGGGGAGCCCCUGUAGGGCACGGCGGCGAGCCUGGCUUUGGGGGGGGGGGGGAACAAAGGGCUGGCGUGUGCCGCGGCCCCGCACCGCCCCGGGGCGAUGCGCGGGGGGAGCCCAAACUUUGCGCCACGCGGUGCCGAGCGGCGAGCGGCAGGGCGGGUUGUUUAGUUGGGGUUUUAAAGAAUUUUGGCUAACUCCGUGCGGCCCGGCACCCCGCCGGGGGGUGGCUGUGGGGGUGGCGGGGUGGGGGCUCUUUGUUCCCGGCCCUAACGGGCCGGGGCGCGGCGCUGCCCCCGCGCCACGCGGUGCCGGGCGGGAAGCUGCCGGGACGCGGCUCCUCGGGGCCGGCCUCGGCUCCCUUCCCCCUGCACCCAAAGGGCUGCAAGGGACCUGCCGGACCUGCCGGCGGCUCGGUCCCGGCGAGCGAGGGCCGAUCCUGCAGCCCCUGCCGCCCCCGGCCCCCCCAGGCGGCUCCCACCGCCCGCAGCGGCCGCCCCGCAGGCAGCCGGGCCCCGCCGGGGCUUGCAGCUCCUCCCCGCUCGCCGCCAGUCCUCGGGACCCGAAUCGCUUCGCUAAUUAUUAUAAUUGCCACCAAGUUUUUGGAGCUGCGCCCCGCCGCCGCUUGGAGCGCGGCUCCAGCUCGGGAUGCUGCCCCCGGGCUCCUGUCGCCGUCCCCAUGUGCUUGCUGCGGGGGAGAAGUGUCCGCAGCCGGCCCCGAGGAGCUUUCUGUCUGCUGACAGCCACCCAGACGGCUCCGUGCACGCUUGAGCAGGCGAAGUAG
rnacentral:lncRNA from 1 species